AUUGAACGCUGGCGGAAUGCUUUACACAUGCAAGUCGAACGGUAACAGGUCUUCGGAUGCUGACGAGUGGCGAACGGGUGAGUAAUAUAUCGGAACGUGCCCAAUCGUGGGGGAUAACGUAGCGAAAGUUACGCUAAUACCGCAUACGAUCUAUGGAUGAAAGCGGGGGAUCGCAAGACCUCGCGCGAUUGGAGCGGCCGAUAUCAGAUUAGGUAGUUGGUGGGGCAAAGGCUCACCAAGCCAACGAUCUGUAGCUGGUCUGAGAGGACGACCAGCCACACUGGAACUGAGACACGGUCCAGACUCCUACGGGAGGCAGCAGUGGGGAAUUUUGGACAAUGGACGCAAGUCUGAUCCAGCCAUUCCGCGUGCAGGAUGAAGGCCCUCGGGUUGUAAACUGCUUUUGUACGGAACGAAAAGGUCUCUCCUAAUACGAGGGGCUCAUGACGGUACCGUAAGAAUAAGCACCGGCUAACUACGUGCCAGCCGCCGCGGUAAAAC
rnacentral:rRNA from 1 species